GCAUUACACACUCCUGCCACCAUCAGUACGCACACCUGCCUUUCCCCGUCACGCGCAUCAGCGUAUUAUUGGACUUAAUCACCUGUUCAUUACCUCCCCUAUAUUUGUCAGUUCCCCAUCUAUGUUUCCUGCUGUUGCAUUAAUGUUCGUAUGUCGUUACCCGUGUGCUGAUGUAACAGUAUAACUUUAGACCGUCCCCUCGCCCAUACCCGGGCGCAAACCAGGGGCCCUCUGCACACAUCAACAACUGUCACCCACGAAGCGUCACCCAAGCCACGGCCCUUGCAGAGCAAGGGGAACUACUACUUCAAGGUCUCAGAGCAAGUGACGUCACCGAUUGAAACGCUAUUUAGCGCGCACCCUAACUCGUCUAGCCGUUUCACAUCCGUUACACUGACGCUGUUCCUGUCUUGUUACCGGUCUGUUCCGCAUUAAAUGUUCAACUCCCCGUACCUGCUUCUCAUCUCCAGCGUCGGUCCUUAUAGGAUGGCCAUCCUGCUAACUGAUUUAAGUUUCUUAGGUGAAUUUAUUCAUGGGUGCCAAAGGAAGCCAGGCAUCCCCAAAACAUUGACCAGAAAAUAGAGUGGAGAAAGCAACCUCGUGAGAAACAUCGCCCCUCUGUGAAGAACAUCAAUCUGAAGCUGUCUGACCCUAUUGCCUCUUUCAAGGAUGAGCAUUAAAGGGGAGAAGACCACCAUAAUUCUGGCAACGUGGAGAAGUGCAGCUAUAGUGAAGGUCAAUUUACCUGUUUGGUCAGGGCCAGCAUGUUGGAUCAAGUUUGUCUUGUAUUGGUGAGUGUAGCUAUUAAGUUAAAGCAUCUUAGCAAUACAAUGUGUUCUAUGCAGUUGUCAAAAUUCUACAAGGAAACAAGGAUAAGGAUACAAGGAUAACUCAGUUCUAGAAUGUUGUCAUUGAUGAGAAUGUUUCUAAAACUCUAUUGACAUUCAGACUUGACUUUGUUUAGACAUCCAGCCUGUACUGUAGUUUCAUGAUUAGUGAUAAAAUCCCAAGGCAUCAAUUAAAAGUUUAUGGAAUAACUGCACUUGGCCUCAUGUGAAAAUGACAGCUUAUUAAAUAUGCUACAGCACGUUUACAACAUAUAUAGCUUAUUUAUAUAGCACAUUUCUCACAACUAAUGCAAUUUAAGGUGAUCAAAGUCAUGCAUUGAAAGGCAUAUGGCACUUAACAUCCUUCCUCUUGGCAGGUCUCAUUAGGUGACUAAAGCAGCCUUUCUUAAAGUAUGGAUCGCCACCCAAAGUGGGUCGCAACGUGUCAGAGUAAAUGUAUAAUUAUUUAAUUGAUUUGUCCAAGAGCAACUGCGCUCAUGGUUUAGCAGCGGUAUCUCAGCUCAGUUUGGCAGCUGCGGAGUGGGAGGAAGAUGUGUGCCUAGUCGUUUACCGGAUCCUUUUUCUGCAGUUUUCUUGAAGAUCACUCCGCAACUCACACGCUGCAGCUCUGUUUUUCAGCAGCAGAUGAUGUGCUGUCAGCCGCUGACUCACAUGCUGACCAGACCGGACACGUCGCGUGCGCGAGCGUCGCUUAAUACAUUUAGAAAUCCAUGUUAUUCAAUUAUUGCACCC
ensembl:lncRNA